UACGUAGGGUCCGAGCGUUAAUCGGAAUUACUGGGCGUAAAGCGUGCGCAGGCGGUUGUGCAAGACAGAUGUGAAAUCCCCGGGCUAACCUGGGAACUGCAUUUGUGACUGCACAGCUGGAGUGCGGCAGAGGGGGAUGGAAUUCCGCGUGUAGCAGUGAAAUGCGUAGAUAUGCGGAGGAACACCGAUGGCGAAGGCAAUCCCCUGGGCCUGCACUGACGCUCAUGCACGAAAGCGUGGGGAGCAAACAGG
rnacentral:rRNA from 1 species